CCGCGAGGCAGCAGGGAGGAAUAGUGGUUAAGGGGAGGAAGCCGGAAACAGCCAAGGAGCGUGAAGGAUGACGGCCAUACGGGUUGUAAACGGCUUUUAUACGGGAAUAACGCGCCUUACGUGUAGGGCUUUGCAUGUACCGUAUGAAUAAGGACCGGCUAAUUCCGUGCCAGCAGCCGCGGUAAUACGGAAGGUCCGGCCGUUAUCCGGAUUUAUUGGGUUUAAAGGGAGCGUAGGCCGCAUGUCAAGCGUGCUGUGAAAUGUCCGGGCUCAACCCGGGCCUUGCAGCGCGAACUGGCGUGCUUGAGUCCGCGGAAAGCAGGCGGAAUUCGUCGUGUAGCGGUGAAAUGCUUAGAUAUGACGAAGAACCCCGAUUGCGAAGGCAGCUUGCUGCAGCGGAACUGACGCUGAUGCUCGAAAGCGCGGGUAUCGAACAGGAGUAGAUACCCUUGUAGUC
rnacentral:rRNA from 1 species